GACAUACUACUGGUUCUCCUUUGGAAAAUGUAACAUUUGCAUUGGUUGGUGUGACCUUCUCCUUACUUUCCAGUGGCUUCCAACUCGUUUCUGUACAUUGCGUCUCUCCAGACCACACAGCUCUCUUGUGUUACCGUGAGAAUGACAACACCUCUGUUGCAGCAUCAUUAGCGAUAUCCCACAGAGGAAAAGCAUUGGUAACACGCAGCAAAACCUGUAUAUUGCUCACAGUUCAGACACAUAAUGAAGCAUACCACGAAUAAAGAGAAUUCAAUAAGACAAGGAUCCUGCAUUACAGGUAAAGGAAAAAGUAUUAGACUUAAAAUUUAUUUUCCCAGCUACUCAAUCCCUUAAAUAGUACUUUGACAAUGAAGAAAUCAGUUUGCAAAGGCAAACCAGUUUCAAAAUAUUGGUGAAAGAAGUAUUGAAGAUAGUCUAACAUAAAAAUCACUGGAGGAUAGACUUACUGAAAAAUAAAGCAGAAUGCCUUUCGAAUAUGUUGUCAUUACUGAACACUUACUAUAUUUAUCCACCUGCCAGAAAUAUGCUAAGCUGAAUACACCUAGAGAGAAAUGAGUCCUAUUCCUAACACUAAUAUGUUCCAUCUAUUUAUUUAAGGAAAUGUGUGCACUAUAAUGCCUAUAAAAGGCAGUCAGAAAAAUACAAUGUAGACAGUUACUACUUCAUAUCUAGUCAUUUCAUCCUCAGAUACAGUAUAAUGUAAGGAUAACUUAAAUGAGUUGUUGAGUAGAUUGAAUUUACUCAGUUGCUACCAUAACCUAUAGCUAGUGACCACGUGAACCCUAAAUAAAACCAGAAUUUGUUGUCCACAUUUCUUAUCUCAUUUACCUGUUCGCCUUCCUAAGUUUUCCAUUUACAUUUUCUUAUAACUUAAAACCAUCAUUAGUCACAAAAAUUCACAUUGAAGACUGUGAAUUUUGAUCUUUUUUCCCAGAACACUACUUUUAUACUGGUAAAAGAGGGCAUUGAACUAAAAUGAGUGGAGCCUAAUAGAGAA
rnacentral:lncRNA from 1 species